rnacentral:lncRNA from 7 species
AGAUCUGGUGAGGGAUUUAGUAGCACAGAGUACUUCGGUUACCUUCACCGCUGACUGACCAUGUUCACGAGUUUGCAGGAUGGACGUCAGGCUGAGCUUUCUCUCCCUCUUAGCACCAGACAGAAGGCAGCUCCAGCAAAGCAGAUGAAAUGAGCUUUGAGUGGUCCCACUGCUGGGAAAGAGAGUACCAAAAUGGGAGGCAAAUGACCUCCUCCCAGCUUCACCCACUGGAUUCAUUUCAUCCACUGAUUCCAGAGCAGAGCAAGCUCAAGAGAGGAUCCAGCACUAAUGAGGAUGAGGAUGUUGCCCUUGGGCUCUCUGAGGACCUUUCCUCUUCUGGGCCUUUGGAUGAGCUGAAGCCAAAAGCCACUAUUGGAAAUAUGGGAAAUCACAAAGCAUCAUAGAAUCAUGAAUCAUCGAAUGGUGUAGAUUGGAAGGGACCUUAAAGACCACUGAGUUUCAACCUCCUACCAUGGGCAGGUUGCCCCCCACCAUCUCAGGCUGCCCAGGGCCCCAUCCAGCCUGGACCUGAGCACCUCCAGGGAUGGGACACCCACAGCUCUCUGGGUAGCAGUGCCAGGGCCCCACCACUCUCCAAAUAAGAAAACAUCCUUGGCCACAGAUUUGCCAUGACUUUGAGGAAGUCACUUCAUCUGACAUCAGCACCACAAGCAACGAAGCCCUCACUGGUAUUGCAUUAAUCUUCAAUCAAAACUUCACAUAAGGAUUACAGGAAUAAACUACUGCAGCAAGAGAAUAUUCUUCAUCUGGAUGACCCCUUUGUUCCACAAGUGUGCAUUAUCGGCAUUUUCACAUCUGUUCAUCACUUGGAGCAACUUUCUUUUGUCCCUUAGUUAGCUCAAGCAUCCACUUCCCCCUCCCAUGCUCCUCCACACCAUACAUUUUUUUUUAAAUCUAAAUACAUUUUCUAAAGUUUAUGACAUGCUGUGUAAUUAAAAUCAAGUUG